rnacentral:rRNA from 1 species
GAUGAACGCUAGCGGCAGGCCUAAUACAUGCAAGUCGAACGGGAUUCAUUUUAAGCUUGCUUAGGAUGAUGAGAGUGGCGCACGGGUGCGUAACGCGUGAGCAACCUGCCCAUAUCAGGGGUAUAGCCCGAAGAAAUUCGGAUUAACACCGCAUGAGAUUAUAGUUCCGCAUGGGACAGUAAUUAAAUAUUUAUAGGAUAUGGAUGGGCUCGCGUGACAUUAGCUAGUUGGUAGGGUAACGGCUUACCAAGGCUACGAUGUCUAGGGGCUCUGAGAGGAGAAUCCCCCACACUGGUACUGAGACACGGACCAGACUCCUACGGGAGGCAGCAGUAAGGAAUAUUGGUCAAUGGAGGGAACUCUGAACCAGCCAUGCCGCGUGCAGGAUGACUGCCCUAUGGGUUGUAAACUGCUUUUGUCAGGGAAUAAACCUUUCUACGUGUAGGAAGCUGAAUGUACCUGAAGAAUAAGGAUCGGCUAACUCCGUG